UACGUAGGGGCCUAGCGUUGUCCGGAUUUAUUGGGCGUAAAGAGCGUGUAGGCGGCCCGACCAGUCCGCUGUGAAAGUCCAGGGCUCAACCCUGGAAUGCCGGUGGAUACUGUCGGGCUAGAGUCCGGAAUGGGCGAGUGGAAUUCCUGGUGUAGCGGUGAAAUGCGCAGAUAUCAGGAGGAACACCAAUGGCGAAGGCAGCUCGCUGGGACGUGACUGACGCUGAGACGCGAAAGCGUGGGGAGCAAACAGG
rnacentral:rRNA from 1 species